rnacentral:rRNA from 1 species
GAUGAACGCUGGCGGCGUGCCUAAUACAUGCAAGUCGAGCGAACAGACGAGGAGCUUGCUCCUCUGACGUUAGCGGCGGACGGGUGAGUAACACGUGGAUAACCUACCUAUAAGACUGGGAUAACUUCGGGAAACCGGAGCUAAUACCGGAUAAUAUAUUGAACCGCAUGGUUCAAUAGUGAAAGACGGUUUUGCUGUCACUUAUAGAUGGAUCCGCGCCGCAUUAGCCAGUUGGUAAGGUAACGGCUUACCAAGGCAACGAUGCGUAGCCGACCUGAGAGGGUGAUCGGCCACACUGGAACUGAGACACGGUCCAGACUCCUACGGGAGGCAGCAGUAGGGAAUCUUCCGCAAUGGGCGAAAGCCUGACGGAGCAACGCCGCGUGAAUGAUGAAGGUCUUCGGAUCGUAAAACUCUGUUAUUAGGGAAGAACAAAUGUGUAAGUAACUAUGCACGUCUUGACGGUACCUAAUCAGAAAGCCACGGCUAACUACGUG